UUGUUCACUGGAUUUGAGACCUUCCUCACCUAAUUUGAAGGUGAUUAGGUGAGUUUUGACAUUGUAGUUGGUGGAUGUAAGCUUAAGUGCUGAAAUUUUGGGUUAUUGAUGUAUUUUUAUGCUUUUGUGUUCAGAUCCUUGGAGGAAGUUGAGUUUGGACCAGAGGGUGAUAUUCCAUCUUGGUUUACUGGUUUUGGAACUUUGCUACACCUGAUUUGAGAUUUGAAAGGUGAAGUUAACAUUGUAUUUGAGGAAAAGUUAAGCUUAAGUGCUGAAUUUCGUAAGUUUGAUGGAAUUAUAGUAUUCUCGAUGUGUAAAG
rnacentral:lncRNA from 1 species